AGAAACUUGGGCACAUCUAUGAAGAGAGGACUAGCAAGGACCUGAGGAGAAGCAGUCAAGGAGGUGGAAGAGAGUUCCUAGAAAGAGGGAGUUCUGGAUCCAAGGACUGGAACUGACAUGCGAGACUUCUACCAACUGAGGGUUUUUUGAGCACACUCCUUUGCCAAGAUUUGGUGAAAAGUCUUUCACUCUGCAAUUGUGCCUUAGAAAUUCUUUUAUCAUGAUCGUGCUUGGCUGGAUGCUUUUUGUUGGCCUUGCAUGUUACAUGGGCACGUUUCCGGAGUUUAUGACUCCAACUCUGAGGUGGAAAGAGAGGUGGCCUGUUCAGGAGAGCAAGGCCCGACGGAACAGCCAGGCUUUGGAUGAAGAUCUACAACUGAACAAUGUGGAAGGGAUAUAAGUAUCCUCCAGGAGGGAUCCCACUGGAAACAAGCAAAGAUGAUCCUGGUGAAGCAAUGCAGCUCUGAAGCCCUCCUGACCCGCUGGCUGUACAGUUCCUGUUGUUGGUUUCACAUAAAGUAAUUGCACAUUAUUUUUGUCACAUUUUAUGGAAAAAGUUGCCGUACUUUUGAAGAUAAAGACUUGGUAUUCUGUUAGCUCAAAACAGGGAGAGGGAGGCUGGGGAGGUAGUUGGGGGUGGAUGGAAGUGGUUGAAUACCUUCUGUUUCAUAGUCCCUAAGACUGGUAGUAAGACUAAGAUAUCCAGUUCAGUUUCUCCUCUGUUCUGUAUCCUUAUUAAGGAUAGAAAUUCUCAAGAGCUCUUUAGACCUAUUUCCCAAGUAAUGCCUUUCUCCUGGGUCCCGGAUUGAAAUUAUGUUCAAGGGCUAGAGAUUGCAGCAACUUUAAGCCUAUUCUUUGGGGGUAUUUCUCUGUGGCCUUUCCACAACUAUUAUUAAGAACUCAAAGCUUCCACCUUGUGGGGGGAAGGUCCUCAUUUUCAUAUUAGGUGUAAGAUACUCAAUUUUACAUUAUUUUAAUCCUGCCAGUAACCAAGUAGUAGCCUCAUUUCACAAAAGGGCAAAAAUGAAGUUGAGAGUCGUAACUUACCAACCCACUCAGCUGAGUUGCAGUGAAGGUUAAGAUCCUGGCCUUUUCCUAGCAUGCUUUUGUGUGUCAAGGAAAAGGGCCAAACAAGAGACUGGGGUAUCUAAGAUCUUGACUGCCUCAUGGUCCAAAUGUCUUCUUCAUCUGUAUAGCCAAAGAAGUGGCCUGAUGAUUCUUUUUGCACUGACUGCUACUUAAACAGGCAAGUGUAGAAACAAAAGCUAACUGCUUAGUCCUCAUUAUGAUGCAGUUUAUGAGACCAAGGACAGAAACUAAGUAUGAGAUCUAUCCAGUUACGCUGGGUGUCUGAGCCUUAGGUUAUACUGAAUAAGCCCUCUAGUGAUUUGGAGCUUUCUGACCCUAAGGGGAGAUGGGGAGGGAGGAACAGCUCUAACAGGAGUAAACAUAGUACUUUUAAAAUAAAAUGUAUAAGUUGUUCCCA